ACUGUGGGGUUAGGAUGAAUCGAC
rnacentral:piRNA from 1 species